rnacentral:piRNA from 1 species
UGGCCUAGGUGUCUUAAGUGUGGCCUGU